rnacentral:rRNA from 1 species
CCGGCGAACGGGUGCGUAACACGUGAGCAACCUACCGAAAUGAGGGGGAUAGCCGGCCCAACGGCCGGGUAAUACCGCAUACGCUAGAGACCAGGCAUUUGGACUCUAGGAAACCUCCGGGGCAUUUCGAGGGGCUCGCGGCCUAUCAGCUAGUUGGUGAGGUAACGGCUCACCAAGGCGACGACGGGUAGCUGGUCUGAGAGGAUGGCCAGCCACAUUGGGACUGAGAUACGGCCCAG